GACACGAUGGCCGAGUGGUUAAGGCGAUUGACUCGAAUUUGGUAUUCAAAUAAGACAUCAAUUGGGAUCUUCCCGCGCAGGUUCGAAUCCUGCUCGUGUCG